rnacentral:lncRNA from 1 species
CAAGAUGAAUAUAAUAAUUUCACACAUUCAACUUCAUAAACCACAAUAUUGUAAAUAAACUCUAAACAGAAAGAAUGCUUCCCAAUGAUAAUAAUAGAUUAAUAGUAAUAAUCUCAACCAAACAGUAACUCAGUAACUAGAAGAGAAGGCAUUUGGGAAUUCAUACCCUUUUCCACUAAUGAAAUCACCCUACAGAAUCAUAUACUCGGUAAAGGGGGGAAGGAGGUGUCAGCGACGGCAUCGUGCUGUCCUCCUUAGAUUGCGUAAUGCGGAAGGGGAACGAAAACUUGGGAAGCGAGCAGGUGAUCGGAAAGGAGAAGAGCUUACACUCCUGGGCUCAUGCGGCACGGCACUGAAUCAACUCGGGGCAAGGAGACCAUUGGAAACGGCGGCUUUCCCAAAGUCUUGGAGCUCGCGGCCGAUGAGUGCAGAUCGCUGGAUCUCAUGGAGAGGAAGAGUGAUCAAUUCACCAUUAAGGAAAGAUAAACUGACUGGUUGCAUUCCAAUUAAUUUGGGGAUGAG